UCGAACCCGGAGAUAGCUGGUUCUCCUCGAAAUAGCUUUAGGGCUAGCCUCAUACAAGUCUGCCGGAGGUAGAGCACUGAAUUUCCGCGGGGGCGUCAAAGCCUACCAAAGAAUAUCAAACUCCGAAUGCCGGACAGAUGGUGUAUGGGAGUCAGACUGUACGAGAUAAGUUGGACAGUCAAAAGGGAAAGAGCCCAGACCGCCGGCUAAGGUCCCAAAGUGGGUGUUAAGUGGAAAAGGAUGUGGGAUCUCUAAGACAACCAGGAUGUUGGCUCAGAAGCAGCCAUUCAUUAAAAGAGUGCGUAACAGCUCACUGGUCGAGAGGUCCUGCGCCGAAAAUGUCCGGGGCUGAAACACCACACCGAAGCCGCGGAACCCGUAAGGGUUGGUAGAGGAGCAUUCUUAGGGGAGUGAAGCAUUACCGGAAGGGGAUGUGGACCGCUAAGAAGAGAGAAUGCCGGAAUGAGUAGCGAGAGCAAGGUGAGAAUCCUUGCGGCCGAAUAUCCAAGGUUUCCAGAGUAAAGCUGAUCUGCUCUGGGUAAGUCGGGGCCUAAGGAGAGGCAGAGAUGCGUAUCCGAUGGACAGCAGGUUUAAGAUUCCUGCACCCCUUGUUAUCAGAACUGCGGGGACACGGGAAGGGAAGCAGAGCCGGGAAUGGAAAGCCCGGUGCAAGCGAAGUAGUCGCAGGGUUGGAAAAUCCGCCCUGCAUGAGACGAAGGCGUGAUGCGGAGCGAAAUGAAGUAGUGAAGCUGCGGCCCCUUCCUGUCGAGAAAAGCCGCUAUCGUGUAGCAAGGGCCCGUACCGUAAACCGACACAGGUGGAUGAGGAGAGGAUCCUAAGGCCGGCGGGAGAAGUGUUGUUAAGGAACUCGGCAAAAUGACUCCGUAACUUCGGGAGAAGGAGUGCUGCGCAAGCAGCCGCAGAGAAAUGGCCCAAGCAACUGUUUAGCAAAAACACAGGUCUAUGCGAAACCGAAAGGUGAGGUAUAUGGGCUGACGCCUGCCCGGUGCUGGAAGGUUAAGGGGAGAGGUUAGCGCAAGCGAAGCUUUGAACUUAAGCCCCAGUAAACGGCGGCCGUAACUAUAACGGUCCUAAGGUAGCGAAAUUCCUUGUCGGGUAAGUUCCGACCCGCACGAAAGGCGUAAUGAUUUGGGCACUGUCUCAACAACACACCCGGUGAAAUUGAAAUACCAGUGAAGAUGCUGGUUACCCGCGCCAGGACGGAAAGACCCCAUGGAGCUUUACUCCAGCCUGAUACUGGGAUCCGGUAUUGCAUGUACAGGAUAGGUGGGAGGCUAAGAACUCAUGGCGCCAGCCGUGAGGGAGCCGGUGUUGGGAUACCACCCCUGCAGUACUGGGUUUCUAACCUGCGCCCGUGACCCGGGCGGGGGACAAUGUCAGGCGGGGAGUUUGACUGGGGCGGUCGCCUCCGAAAGGGUAUCGGAGGCGCUCAAAGGUCUCCUCAGGAUGGUUGGAAACCAUCCAGAGAGUGCAAAGGCAGAAGGAGGCUUGACUGCGACACCGACGGGUGGAGCAGGUACGAAAGUAGGACUUAGUGAUCCGGUGGUAUAAAGUGGGAUUGCCAUCGCUCAACGGAUAAAAGCUACCCUGGGGAUAACAGGCUUAUCACUCCCAAGAGUUCACAUCGACGGAGUGGUUUGGCACCUCGAUGUCGGCUCAUCGCAUCCUGGAGCUGUAGCAGGUUCCAAGGGUUGGGCUGUUCGCCCAUUAAAGCGGUACGCGAGCUGGGUUCAGAACGUCGUGAGACAGUUCGGUCCCUAUCCGGCGCGGGCGCAGGAUAUCUGAGAGGAGCUGUCCUUAGUACGAGAGGACCGGGAUGGACCGUCCGCUGGUGGACCGGUUGUCAUGCCAAUGGCACGGCCGGGUAGCCAAGACGGGAAGGGAUAAACGCUGAAGGCAUCUAAGCGUGAAGCCCCCCUCAAGAUGAGAUAUCCAGACUCGAAAGAGUGAGAGACCCCUUAGAGACGAUGAGGUAGAUAGGGCAGAGAUGGAAGUGCAGCGAUGCAUGGAGUUGACUGUUACUAAUCGGUCGAUAGCUUGACCU
rnacentral:rRNA from 1 species